AAAUGCUGUGAUAUGGUACCUCAAGAAAUAAACAACUAGGCUAAUUAACCUACUUAGAUGUAUGGUUAAAACUAUUAAAAGAUGGAAUGUAAUAAAAUGUUUAACAAAGCAAACAAGGGAACAAACUUGAGGGACCAAAGAUGAACAAGGGGGAAAGUUAUGUCUUAAGUAACAAACACACCCACACAAGCACACACACAUUUCGUGUGUUCUAGAACGAUCAGGGGGAACUCCCCAUGAACCAAACCCUAGUUCUAACACAAUCAUCAAAUUAAGGAGUCAAAUGAAGCUCAAAUUCACAACCAAACAUGAAUUAAGGAUCACCUACUCAAGGGGAUCAUGAGGAAUCAUGUCGAGACGGAAUCAAGCACGGAUGGAUAAUGGGUCAAGAAGUGGCGAGGAAACGAAUAUGAACACGGAUGCAUGAGGUAGUACCAGUCAUGAGGAUAUCCAAGGAUUGGAGAUCGAAGAUCGAGUCACUAGAGAGAUUGUACGGAAACGUUGAUGUACAUAAUGUAGUAAACAUAAGCUAUGUUUUUAACUAGUAAAUAAGAGGAUGGCGGAUUUAUGAGAAA